CCUACGGGAGGCAGCAGCAGGGAAUAUUGCACAAUGGGCGCAAGCCUGAUGCAGCAACGCCGCGUGCGGGAUGAAGGCCUUCGGGUUGUAAACCGCUCUCAGUAGGGAAGAAAAUGACGGUACCUACAGAAGAAGCCCCGGCCAACUACGUGCCAGCAGCCGCGGUAAU
rnacentral:rRNA from 1 species